CCUGAAGCUGUUGUCCCUACUGCUAAAAGGACCAAAUAAGGGUUAGGUAGGGCUGGGAUUGUCCUGCAGAAAGAAAACUCAGCCUGCAGAAUUUGGACUUUUUCUCCUGAUUCUCCUUGCUGUCCCACUGGGAUCUGGCUACAGUGAGGGCAGUUAUGUGAACUGCUGUAUGGGGCUUGUCUGCUGACUGGGGCUGAAGCACAGCACAGCAUCAACUACCUUCUGUUGCAAAAUAAAACCAAACAGCGAAUGCUGAACAGGAAGAUAGUCUGUGAGGGGGAGGAGAUGCAGGUGUCCAAGCAGAGAUCCACUGCAGCCCAUGGGAGGCCCUGAUGGAGUAGGCAUUUCUCUGCACUCUCUGGAGAUGAUCACGGUGGUGCAGAUGUUCACACUGCAGCCCCUGAAUAGAACAGGUGAAUAUGCACUGAAGGAAGCUACAGAGCAUGAAAAGCAGAUGCAAAAGCAAAUUUAUUCCAAAAGACUACAACCUGUGGAUGCAUGCCAGAGGGGAGGAAAAGUGUAAAGAGGAAGGAAUUGCAGAAAACAACUGUUACAGAUUUACCAUGACCCUUGAGUCUCUCUCAAUCCACAGGCUUUCCAAAUUUGCCUUCUUCUCUGUAAGACAGACAAAGAAUUAAUUGUUUGGAGGUGAAGCCAAGCUUAGAUUAGGCACUUUGCUAUGUAUAUGAAAAUAAGAA